CAACCCUCAAGCUCUGCUUGGUAUUAGGCUUCACCCUUAGGGGCGGGCCUUAAAAUCAGUGGCGGUGCCAUUCGGCUUCAAGCGUAGUAAUUUUCUCGCUUUGGAGAACCGGGUGCGUGUUUGCCAAUAACCCCAAAUUUUUUAAA
rnacentral:misc_RNA from 2 species